rnacentral:rRNA from 1 species
GGGGAAUAUUGCACAAUGGAGGAAACUCUGAUGCAGCGACGCCGCGUGAGUGAAGAAGGUUUUCGGAUCGUAAAACUCUGUCCUUGGUGAAGAAAAAAAUGACGGUAGCCAAGGAGGAAGCCCCGGCUAACUACGUGCCAGCAGCCGCGGUAAUACGUAGGGGGCGAGCGUUGUCCGGAUUUACUGGGCGUAAAGGGUGAGUAGGCGGUUAUAUAUGUCAGAUGUAAAAGGCGCAGGCUUAACUUGUGUAAGCAUUUGAAACUGUAUAACUUGAGAGCAGGAGAGGUAAGCGGAAUUCCUAGUGUAGCGGUGAAAUGCGUAGAUAUUAGGAGGAACACCAGUGGCGAAGGCGGCUUACUGGACUGUAACUGACGCUGAGUCACGAAAGCGUGGGUAGCAAAC